GUUUGUGUGGCAUGUAAUAAAAAAUGGUUGUAUCUAGCAAUUCAUUUGCAAAUCUUACUUGAUUUUGAAGCCAUAGAACACCUCAACUGUUAACUUGAAUGACUGGAGUUUAGUUUUUAUUUCUGAGAACAAAACAGUUUGAAGCCUAAUUAACAUCCUCGGAAGGAACUUAACACUAAAACUCCUAACAGCUUCAGUUUUCUGACCUUGAAGAAAGGGAAAAUGAAGAGACCGUGGUGCCACUUCCGAAGCAAAGCCUGAAGUUCUGUGCUUUAGAGGUGGUGUUGCCAUCCUAUGAUUGCGGGAGUCUGGCGUUGGCUUGGUGGAGGAGCCAGUGGAUAAGGCGGAGGAAGGUCGGUUGCUCUCCCUGGAAGGAAGAGUAUUCUCAGAUUUCACCUUGAAGGAGGAAGGUUGCCAGAACUGGACUAGCACUUCUGAAUAUCCCGAGGUGAG
rnacentral:sRNA from 1 species